rnacentral:rRNA from 1 species
GGACUUCUGAUAAUACUGGAUAAGUUAGUAUAUCGCAUGAUAUGCAAAUGAAAGCUACGGCACUAAAGGAGAGCUUUGCGUCCUAUUAGCUAGUUGGUAAGGUAAGAGCUUACCAAGGCGAUGAUAGGUAGCCGGCCUGAGAGGGUGGACGGCCACAAGGGGACUGAGAUACGGCCCUUACUCCUACGGGAGGCAGCAGCC